UGUCGGAUUGAAAAGUACUUUAAAUCGAUGUAAAAAGGGAUAGUGAAUCAAAUGUAGACAGACAAUCCGUUAAGAAUUUGAAUGAAACGAAAUUUGCUAUUUUUUGUACCGAAUCGCUGUAUCUUUGAAAUAAAAUGUUAGAGUGUUGCUUUUUAUCAAUUGAGGCAUUAGUAAUAUUCUAAUUAAAUGACAAAAUAGUUAAAUUAGUGAAACUUACAUGCAAGACACUACUUGCCGUGAGACUGUUCAGAUUACAGUGAAAAGUAGGUUUUCCAUUGUUUAUAACUUUAAAAUUGCUAGUGCUGUUGGCAUUUAUUAGUUGAGAGAUGAUUGUCGUACGACUUAUGUCUAGCAUUGAAAUCUGCGACUACAACCACAUUUUGUUCACCAUCAAGGAAAUCAUAUAAUCUAUGAAUUUCAUCACGAAAAGUUUGUACGUCAACACUCGGUACCAUGAUACGACGAAAAGAUUGGGUUUUACAUCGUACUUUUGAUGAUAAUAACAUCAACAGCUGAAUUGUAAAGAAUACUCUUGAAAUUAAUUCCUUUUUUAGCGAGUGUGUUAACACUGCCGUAGCCAUUGUCACGGCUGAUGCAUAAUUAGCGAUUUUAACCUCGAAGAAAUUAUCGUUUCUCAAAACGAAACUUCGCUUAAGAUGCAGAAAUUAAUAUUAUCUGAACCUAAGUAAAAAUUUAAGAAUGACGAAUUACGCUGGCCACUGUGUUUAUUAUGUUGUGGACACAUGUCGCUUCUAAGAAUCGCUGGCCCUUGAGAUUGGGUUGCAGCCAGCCCAUCAGAUUUGGUUAUAGACUGUCGUAGAGGUGGAAUAGCAAAAGUUCAGGAAUGUAUUCGUUUUUGUUGACUGGAUUUUUCCGCCGAGGCCUAGUACCGGACUGACCUGGUUGGGAAGUUUCAGACCACAUCGAAAAACAAUUUUUCUUUCUUUUGGUUUUGGAUUUUUGGUAAUUGGUGCCCAGGAGAGCAUCCAUAAUAGCGAAAACAAUAAUUGGAACGUUUCUGGUCUGUGUCGUAAAGCUUUUCAACUCAUAAAAUUAAUUUACAAGGAGUUUCGAGAUGUUUAAAAGAGCUUAAAACGAUAAACAAUGGCAUACCAAGAAUCUGUAAGGAAAUUCCUCGAUAAAGAAUAAAAUUGUAGUUCCAGCAGGUGAUGGUGGGCUAUCUUCACUCCUGAGCACCCACAUUUUUAUGGUCAGUGUCUUCGCUAAAAUGUCGUUGCUGAAUUACAAUAUAUUGCGAUAUGAAUAACAAUAAAGUAAAAUAAGUAUUAAAAUUAAGUAAUCUUAGCGAACGUGCACAUAUAAAACAU